rnacentral:rRNA from 1 species
AGAGUUUGAUCCUGGCUCAGGAUGAACGCUGGCGGCGUGCCUAACACAUGCAAGUCGAGCGAAGCACUUUGCUUAGAUUCUUCGGAUGAAGAGGAUUGUGACUGAGCGGCGGACGGGUGAGUAACGCGUGGGUAACCUGCCUCAUACAGGGGGAUAACAGUUAGAAAUGACUGCUAAUACCGCAUAAGACCACAGCACCGCAUGGUGCGGGGGUAAAAACUCCGGUGGUAUGAGAUGGACCCGCGUCUGAUUAGCUAGUUGGUAAGGUAACGGCUUACCAAGGCGACGAUCAGUAGCCGACCUGAGAGGGUGACCGGCCACAUUGGGACUGAGACACGGCCCAAACUCCUACGGGAGGCAGCAGUGGGGAAUAUUGCACAAUGGGGGAAACCCUGAUGCAGCGACGCCGCGUGAGCGAAGAAGUAUUUCGGUAUGUAAAGCUCUAUCAGCAGGGAAGAAAAUGACGGUACCUGACUAAGAAGCACCGGCUAAAUACGUGCCAGCAGCCGCGGU